CCUGGUUCUUUCAGAACAAAACAAGUCAACAGAGCCUGUGGGGAUUGGAGAAACACGAACAGAAUGGAUUUCGAUCUGUCAUCAGCUUUAGAUAAAGAUGAGGAGGUGAAGCAGGCGGAGGCCCAAAAGGACGAGUUCAGCUUGCCUUGGAGCAAAAACAAGAAUAAAGAUAAGGACAAGAAGGGUGACAGCAAAGACAAAUCCAAGGACAAAGACAAAUCCAAGGACAAAGACAAAU